rnacentral:lncRNA from 1 species
CCCUAUCUGUCACUUGUUCCGAGAAAGCUGCCCGAGCGGGCUCUGGAAGUGGGAACGAAAACUAACUUUGCUAUUGUUUGUCCGGCCGGCCUCCCCCCUGCCCCUUCUCACCGGCUGGCUUUGCUUUCUGCUCGGCGCUGCAAGCCGCAAGCCCCUCGCCGUCCGACUGCGCAGCCCUGGACUCAGUCUCUCUGCGGUCCCCCUCCCGGCGGCCGUCGGGGAUGGCUGCGGCGGGGCCAGGCCCCGCCCUCCUGGAGGACACGCCCCGGGCACGCCCCCUGCCCUGCUCCCGGGCCCCGCGGGAAUGUAGUCGGCCCCGGGCCAGAUCCGGCUCCGCCCACCAGGCCUCCGGUGCGGCCGCCCAGCCCCGCCCUGCGGGGGGUGGGCCCGUCUCUUGCCCCGCCCCUCCCCGUUACGGCCUCCCUAAUUCAGCCCGGUAGCUCCGCCCCCGGGCCCGCCUCCUCGACCCUGUCCUCUGCGCCCGGAGGAGGCCUGCCUCCCAACCUUGCAAGGCGAGCGCGGGAGCCCGGCUGGUGGGAAGCCCCAACACAGCGCUGCCUAACCGUCCCGCCCCUCCUCGGCCUUCCUCAGCUGUCCCCGCCCCCCCCCCCCCCCCGACCCUACCGCCACCCCGCCUGGGUCACGAUCUCCUCUCGGCCUACCCCAGUCCCCUUGGGCGAGGCGCCCCCUCCCCAGGCACGCCUUUCCCCGCCUCAGCGCCUCCCUAAUCCUGUUCUGCUCUGCCAACCUCAACCUGAGGCGGGCCGGCCUCGGGCCCCCAAGCUGGCAUUCCAGGGCGGGUGCGUCCGGGUGCGACCGGGGACGGCGUGGGAGCGGUUUGCGUUCCAAGUCCGAGCCUUUAUCAGCAGGCGACCUGGGCCCAGGCACUUUUUGAAAAUACUAACAACUACUACCGACUGGACUCUCGCCAGGGGCCGGGCUCUAUGCCAAGCCCUACUAAAAGGACUGGCCCUUAAAUUCUCACAACCCUCUGCGAUGGUAGCUUGUUGCUCCAUUUUACCGACGGACGACCUGAGGUUUAGAGAAAGGAAGUCGUGGCCUCCGAGUCUCACGCUGGAGGUGAGCAGGAUCCGGCUGCAAGCCCUGAAUCACAAGCCUGAUACUGCCCCAGCUUGCCUGGACUGGCCCCUGGAGAAGUGGCCUUGGCCAGCCAGCUGUUGGGGCUGUGUUCAGCAGGCUGCCUGA